CAAAGGUUGCCUCCCACAGGAGGGAGAGGCAGAAUAUUAUCAGAUGCGCAGGAAAUUUCCAUUGUUGACAUGGUAAUUGGCAACAAUGCAAAAAAAAAUGCGGGAAAUUCGGGACAGAGUGCUGGCAGACAAUAUCACUUUUGGGAAUGUGAACAUGGUCAGCACAACAACAAUUGCCAGAGUCCCAGAGAAACAUAAAAUAAGGAUGAAGCAGUUGUACACUGUACCCUGAGAAACGUCGAACGUGUGAAAGAACUCUGGUAUCAAUAUGUCCAGAGAGUAAUGGAGAUGGAAGCCAGGCAAACUGCACAUACAUUCAUCUUUGUGGAUGAAGUUGGAUUCAACCUGGCAAAAACACGCCGCAUGUGAAGAAAUGUGAUUAGACAGAGAGCAACCGUGGAUGUCCCAGGCCAGAGAGGAGCUAACAUUACAAUGUGUGCAGCACUGUCCAAUGAUAGUUUGCUGUUACACAAACCCCUCAUUGGUCCCUACAAUACAGAGAGGCUCAUUUCUUUUCUGGAUGAGCUGCAUAAUUGACUUGUGCCAGAGGAGGAGAGAGGGGCAAGAAACUCCCCUACCUUCGUUGUUGUGUGGGAUAAUGUGGCAUUCCACCAGUCUGCUGCAGUCACAGACUGGUUUGCUGCUCAUCCCAGGAUGUCAGUACUAUUUCUGCCUCCAUACUCCCCCUUCCUAAAUCCCAUAGAGGAGUUUUUCUCUGCGUGGAGGUGGAAGGUUUAUGAUCACUAUCCACAUGACCAGAUAUCCUUACUGGAUGCCAUGAAUGCGGGGUGUGGAGACACUUCACCUGAAGACUGCCAGGGUUGGAUUAGACAUUCCAGAAGAUACUUUCCAAGAUGCAUCGCCAGAGAAGACAUGAGAUGUGAUGUAGGAGAGAGGGAGAACUAAAACCCUCACAGUACUGUACAGUAUGAGUGAUUAUACUAUACAAGUUGAUGUCAGGAAUUUGUUUAUUUUUCACAAGUAAAUUACAAUAUGCAAAGAUAUAGAAAAAAUAAAGGCUAUUGAAGCAAAUUAC